rnacentral:rRNA from 1 species
GACAGAGGAUGCAAGCGUUAUCCGGAAUGAUUGGGCGUAAAGCGUCUGUAGGUGGCUUUUUAAGUUCGCCGUCAAAUCCCAGGGCUCAACCCUGGACAGGUGGUGGAAACUACCAAGCUAGAGUACGGUAGGGGCAGAGGGAAUUUCCGGUGGAGCGAUGAAAUGCGUAGAGAUCGGAAGGAACACCCAAGGCGAAAGCACUCUGCUGGGCCGACACUGACACUGAGAGACGAAGGCCAGGGGAGCAAACAGG